rnacentral:tRNA from 3 species
GGGCCCUUAGCUCAGUCUGGUUAGAGCGCUCGGCUCAUAACACCGAGUGGUCGAUGGUUCGAAUCCGUCAGGGCCCA